GCCCCCUUAGUUCAAUGGAUAGAACGGCUCACUCCUAACGAGCUGAUUCAGGUUCGACUCCUGAGGGGGGCA
rnacentral:tRNA from 1 species